UACGUAGGGUGCAAGCGUUAAUCGGAAUUACUGGGCGUAAAGCGUGCGCAGGCGGUUAUAUAAGACAGAUGUGAAAUCCCCGAGCUUAACUUGGGAACUGCAUUUGUGACUGUAUAGCUAGAGUACGGCAGAGGGGGAUGGAAUUCCGCGUGUAGCAGUGAAAUGCGUAGAUAUGCGGAGGAACACCGAUGGCGAAGGCAAUCCCCUGGGCCUGUACUGACGCUCAUGCACGAAAGCGUGGGGAGCAAACAGG
rnacentral:rRNA from 1 species